GAGAUAGCCAUGCGAGUUAACGUAGCAAUACGUGGCGCACGGCUCAGUAACACGUAGUCAACAUGCCCAGAGGACGUGGAUAACCUCGGGAAACUGAGUCUAAACCGCGAUAAGUGAGGAUUUCUGGAAUGGUUCCUGACUAAAAUCUAUAUGGCCUCUGGAUUGGACUGCGGCCGAUCAGGCUGUUGGUGAGGUAAUGGCCCACCAAACCUGUAACCGGUACGGGCUCUGAGAGGAGGAGCCCGGAGAUGGGCACUGAGACAAGGGCCCAGGCCCUAUGGGGCGCAGCAGGCGCGAAACCUCUGCAAUAGGCGAAAGCCUGACGGGGUUACUCUGAGUGACUUUCGCUAAGAAAGUCUUUUGGCACCUCUAAAAAGGGUGCAGAAUAAGGGGUGGGCAAGUCUGGUGUCAGCCGCCGCGGUAAUACCAGCACCCCGAGUGGUCGGGACGAUUAUUGGGCCUAAAGCAUCCGUAGCCGGUUCUGCAAGUCCCCCGUUAAAUCCAGCUGCUCAACAGAUGGGCCGCGGAGGAUACUACAGAGCUAGGAGGCAGGAGAGGCAAGCGGUACUCAGUGGGUAGGGGUAAAAUCCGUUGAUCCAUUGAAGACCACCAGUGGCGAAGGCGGCUUGCCAGAAUGCGCUCGACGGUGAGGGAUGAAAGCUGGGGGAGCAAACCGGAUUAGAUACCCGGGUAGUCCCAGCCGUAAACGAUGCAGACUCGGUGAUGGGUUGGCUUCGCGCUAACCCAGUGCCGCAGGGAAGCCGUUAAGUCUGCCGCCUGGGUAGUACGGUCGCAAGACUGAAACUUAAAGGAAUUGGCGGGGGAGCACCACAGGGUGAAGCCUGCGUUC
rnacentral:rRNA from 1 species